UAUUCCUCUUCUGCUCCCCCCAGCCCCCCACCUCUGCCUCACCCUGAGUUUUGAGCACAUCGAGCUCCAGUGCCUGGGAAGGGCAACAUACACCAGGAAGCAGAAAGGCACAAGAUCAGUCAAUCUGCAGAAAGUAAGUAGUGCCUUAGGACACAAAGAGAUGAUGGUUCUGAGGGUCCCCUCCCACGCAAGAGGAGGGGACCCUCAGCACAGAGGGUCCUGGCUUCGUCAAACCUGCCCAUGCCUCAUGUGAUGUGAAAACAGACAACCAGCAGAUGUCCAGAGACACUGAGCGUUUGGAUAGUGAAGAUGCCAACAGUGAGCACAGGUAACGGGGUUUGGACAUUGUUUUGUCUAAAUGUUAACAUUAUUUGAGGCGAAGCCAGCAUGGUCAAAAUACCCAGCCUGUCAAGCAGCCUUUCACCUCCAUUCGGCUUGGGAAGCCAGCCAAGAAAUGUGAAGAUGGUAGCCUUUGGUGACUAACAACAGGAAACUUGGAUGGAAGUAGUGAGAACCCAUAAAACAUGACACUACCAUUGAGCAGACAUGGGAGCGUAGGAAUGCUGGCAAGCCUCAGAGCCCGCAUCCUCCAACCACGAAAAAGAGACCAGGCGUCUCCUGCCAGAAGAGAACAAGGAAGGAAAGCAGCUGUUUCACUGAGAGCCCCAUGCCUCCGCUCCUCCAAGCUUAGGCGUAACAAAUGAUACUUUCAAUAUUCGCAAGGUCCAGAACUGGGCAACAUCACUCCUGCUGUGUUGUAUUAGACAAAGCCUGCGCAAGUCAGCCCAGACUCAAGAGUAUGGAGGCGAAGACACUGCCUGUCAGUGGGGCAGUAGAGGAAUCUAUGCCUGGAGGCAGGGAAGAACUUGAAGGAAGCUAGUUUUCACGACAAGCUACCGUACACUCGCAGAUGAAUCUGAUAAGGAAAGAAAGAGGCAAAAAUAUCCCCACAUUGGCUUCUACGUGAUUCUUCCGAGGAACUCUGGAAAGAAAGUUAUGCUUUGGGGUUGUCCCAACCUAAGGGAAUAUGGCCAGACUUUUAUGUUUUCACAUCAAAAAGGCCAACAAGGAGGGUAAACCAAAUUUAAAAAUAAACAAAACUAGCCCUGGCUGGUGUGGCUCAGUGAACUGAGUGCCAGCCUGUGAACCAAAGGGUUACCGGUUUGAUUCCCAGUCAGGGCACAUGCCUGGGUUACAGGCCAGGUCCCCGGUGGGGGUGUAUGAGAGGCAACCACACAUUGAUAUUUAUCUCCUCUUUCUCCCUCCCUUCCCUGUUUUUAAAAAUAAAUAAA